AUUGAACGCUGGCGGCGUGCUUUACACAUGCAAGUCGGACGAGUGGCGAACGGGUGAGUAACGCAUCGGAACGUACCGAGUAAUGGGGGAUAACUGUCCGAAAGGACAGCUAAUACCGCAUAUUAUUCGAGCGGCCGAUGUUUGAUUUGCUGGUUGGCGGGGUAAAGGCCCACCAAGGCGACGAUCAGAAGCGGGUCUGAGAGGAUGAUUCGCAACACUGGGACGAAGACACGGCCCAGACUCGUAAGUGAGGCAGCAGGGGGGAAUUUUGGACAAUGGGCGCAAGCCUAAACCAGCCAAGCCGCGUGUCUGAAGAAGGCCUUCGGGUUGUAAAGGACGUUUGUCAGGGAAGCGGUACCUGAAGAAUAAGCACCGGCUAACUACGUGCCAGCAGCCGCGGUAAUAC
rnacentral:rRNA from 1 species